GUUUUGUCUGGGGCUCGUCCUGCUACAUUUCUUGGUUCCCUGAACAGGAAGCGAGGUAACUGACGGACGGCCAAGGCAGCCCCUUGGGUGGCUUAGGCCUGCCCUGUGGAGCAUCCCUGCGGUGGACUCUGGCCAGCCUGAGUGACGCGAUCCAAAGAGCGCUCCCGGGUAGGAAAUUCCCCGGGUGGAACGCCUCGCCAGAGCAGCACGUAGCAGGCCCCCGAGGAGGAUUAACACACUGGCUGAACACUGGGAAGGAACUGGCACUUGGAGUCCGGACAUCUGAAACUUGCAACCCACUCUCUGUGCUAUGACUUCAUUACUCUUUCCCAGCCCAGCCCUGGGCAAGCCCCUUACGAAGUCUCAGGCUACCUGGAUGACCACCCUUUCUUAUGAUGCUGCAAGGAGGGCAGGUGGGCAGAGCCCCGUGCAUCCUGGGCUCAGGCCAGGGACCCAAGAGCUUGGGAGAAGCUGGUUCUCAGACUGAAGGCCAGAGCCCAGCACCUUGUCACCAUCCCGGGGAGCAUCAUGGCACACAACAACCAGAGCCAAGUAGAGACAGGGUUUCACCAUGUUGGCCAGGCUGGUCUCGAACUGCUGAUCUGAAGUGAUCCGCCCGCCUCAGCCUCCUAAAGUGCUGGGAUUAUAGGCAUGAGCCACCGCUCCCGGCCUCCUCCUAUAUCUCUUGAUCAAACUUCAGGGGAAAACCUGCCAGAUUCCCCAGGAAGGAUGCUUGGAGGUGUGCAGAGAAGUCUACAUUCCCAUGUCAAAUUGACAGGCCUCGGAAGUCAAAAUAAGUGGUUUCCUAGACCGGGUCGAGAGCAAGUCUCUAUUGGUCCCAACUGAGUUUUUUCAGCUGGUUUUUCAACCAAACAGCACCUCAUCUCCCAGUGAGGGGAAGGGAAGGCUGGGCUGAGAGCAGCAAGGCUGCUCAUCUCACCUCUCCCCACCCAGCCAUGCCAGCCGCCUCACCUGGUGGGGAGAGGUGGGCCUCACCUGGGUCCCCUGGCAGUGCUCUGUGAAGGGUCUUGACAUUGCACUGUAAUAAUAAAGGUGUGUGUGAAGUAUC
rnacentral:lncRNA from 1 species